UACAUGGGGUGCAAACGUUGCUCGGAAUUAUUGGGCGUAAAGCGCGCGUAGGCGGUUACUCAAGUCGGAUGUGAAAGCCCUCGGCUUAACUGAGGAAGUGCACCCGAAACUGAGUAGCUAGAGUACUAAAGAGGGUCGCGGAAUUCCCGGUGUAGAGGUGAAAUUCGUAGAUAUCUGGAGGAACACCGGUGGCGAAGGCGGCAUCCUGGACCAACACUGACACUGAGGAGCGAAAGCCAGGGGAGCAAACGGG
rnacentral:rRNA from 1 species